rnacentral:misc_RNA from 1 species
GUAGGUGAACCUGCGGAAGGAUCAUUAACAAAUUCAAGAUACCAGCAAUGUGUUCACUGCGCAAGCAGUGAGCACAUUGAGUGCAGUCAUCGAUAUGUGAACUGUGCAAGCAGUGAGCAUAUGGGUGCUCAAUACAAGUAUGAAUACACUUUCGUGUAUUCAUACUUGUCUUGGCGACUCUGCGAGGAAGCAUUCUAUGCUGAGCAAGAGUCAUGUAUCAGCAAUAGCUUUCGCAAUUGCUGAUACAGCA